rnacentral:rRNA from 1 species
AGGACGAACGCUGGCGGCGUGCUUAACACAUGCAAGUCGAGCGGAAAGGCCCUUCGGGGUACUCGAGCGGCGAACGGGUGAGUAACACGUGAGCAACCUGCCCUUGGCUCUGGGAUAGCCUCCGGAAACGGGGAUUAAUACCGGACAUUCACUUUCUCCUGCAUGGGGGUUGGUGGAAAGUUUUCGGCCAGGGAGGGCUCGCGGCCUAUCAGCUUGUUGGCGGGGUAACGGCCCACCAAGGCGACGACGGGUAGCCGGCCUGAGAGGGCGAUCGGCCACACUGGGACUGAGACACGGCCCAGACUCCUACGGGAGGCAGCAGUGGGGAAUAUUGCACAAUGGGCGCAAGCCUGAUGCAGCGACGCCGCGUGGGGGAUGAAGGCCUUCGGGUUGUAAACCCCGUUUCACCAGGAGCGAAUUCAGACGGUACCUGGGGAAGAAGCGCCGGCUAACUACGUGCCAGCAGCCGC